rnacentral:lncRNA from 1 species
AUUCCCAUGCCUGAAAGCUUCUUUUUCAGCUUGGUGUUCCAGUGAUUCUUAACAUCAUUAUCGGUGCGGCCAGGCAGCUGAGCUGCUAUCAAUGACCAGCUGCAAUGCCCAUUUUAAGAGGUAAGUAAAAUACCUAAGGAAAUAAGGAAAAUAGGAAAAUAGAAUGACAGCAAUUCAUGUACCGGUUGCCAACAACUGAAUGAAGCUUCACGAUGGUCUGUUCUUCUGCAUCCGAGAAUUGGCCAUGCUUCAGAUCAGGACGAAGGUAAUUCGUCCAUCGCAGCCUACAGCUCUUCCCACAUCUCUGGAGACCUUAUGAGUAGAAAAAAGAGAAACAGAAAAUCAAAUGCAUUUUUAGUAGAAUCACAUUUGAAUCACUAACCCUCGGAGACAGGUGUAAAGAGGAGAGAACACAAACCGGCAUUCUUAGGGAUGAGGCGCCAGUUGCGGGUGCCAUGCUGGGCGAUAUAGGAAGAGAGUUUGUUGUCUUCCUCCGGUGUCCAUUGCCCCCUCUUAACAUUGUCCUUCUCGCAACACGGGAUCCGACCCAUCUCCGGGUAUUUCCUUAUUUUCUCAGCCCUCAAGAAAAAACUCUAAUUGGGUUUUGAGCAGAGAAAGCAGAGAAUGGGAUGGAAUAAUAAACUAAGAAUAUCGUAAAAAGAAAAAACCCUUGAGUAUGUUUUCAAGUGAUAAAAAAGAUAGGAAGUGAGGUGAGUGAUGGAGGGGGAGGAGAUAAUAUAUUAGAAAUUUAGAAUGGGGUGCAUUGCAUGGAAUGUGAAGUGAAGAGAGAUGCCACCAAAGGUGCAUGAGGGCAUUAAAGAAUUCAACGCCGCUGAGCGUGUGAGAGAUGGGCCGGUAGCUCACCCACAAGACGCUUGGUCAACCCUCUCUCUCUCCAUCUCUCUCUGGUUGACUGUUUUCUGGUUGUGCAGGGGUUGGGUGGCAUGCUGCUUCGCUCACACAAUUCACAAUUCCACUGGAGGACGCUCCUCUUGGUUUUUAUCAAAUUCCGAAGUUUAAGGUUGUUGCACGUGUGGGUGGCACCCCUGUUUCUUGUAGGCAAUCUUCAUUUUCUUUGUUUUCUUUUCUACGUUUGGGACUUUAUACAAUUCUAUAUAUUUGGGCGACAAGAGUGGCUGGUGGCAUGGUGUUGUGUUGCUCUCAAGUACCUCUUCUUCCCAUUUGGUCCACUAGGU